UAUUCCAUGGAACGCAGGAGGCUGAGGAAAGAUGUUUAGAACAAGGGUUCCCAACAUGGGGUAAAUUUACUCUACCCAGGGGGUAUAUUUGUUGAUUCUGGAUUUGUACAUAUUUUUGCUCAUUGAUGGACUGUG